AGGGUCUAUUGCAAUGGUUUGAACCGUUGCCAAAAGGAUUAGGUGGUUUUGAUACUAUUUAGUGAUAAUUCUGUUGCCACUGUGUGGUUGCAAUAGACAUACCUAUAGUAACAGUUAUUAGAACCAUUGCCAUAAAGUCAUCUAUGGCAACGCUUAAUGAAAAGUAUUUUCUAUUGAAAAGUAUUUGCUAAAACCCGCCAAAAACCUUUCAUUUUUUUUAAUUUCCUAAAUCUAUGUAAGAUAUGAUAGAAAUAAGGAAACAUUUGUUAAAUUCAUUUCUCUCACAAACAACCACAACACUAGAGCUCUUCUUCUCCCUUGUCUAACCAAGCAAACAUUUGCAUCGAUUCAGGCAAACUUGUGGUGAGCUUGUGAAGUUUUGCAGUGAUAUCAAUCUUAUGGAAAUGGAGGGCUGGAAGUUUCAUCAUGAAAUCUGAGAAAUAUUUGAGGUUUCUUCCUCAAUUGCUGGGGGUUUUCUUCUUCAAUCUUUGAGGUUAUAGCUAAAGAUACUACAAGUUUGAGCUUUUGAGUGAAACUGUUGGACGGUUGGAGACAAUAAAUCUUUAGCACUAAAAGGCUGGCCUAUUGCUGACGACACGGAUGGAACUGUUAUUGUGGAGAAGAUGAUCAAGGAGAUGAUGAAAUUGAAGAUCUUACUUGAUAAAAUUGAUUGAAAGUUGUAGAAACUUCAAAUGUUUUUGUUGGACACUUGUUCUUUUAUAUUUUGAAACUUCUGCUAAGCUACAAUCUUUUGUUUUCUAUCAAUAUGAAACUUGUAAUAACUGUUGAAAAUAGAUUUUGGUGUACUUUUCCUUUAUGGAUGUUGUGAUUGGGAUAUUUUGUCUUAUAUAUUAAUCGUUUUCUUACGUGAUUUAUAGAA